GGAAAUACAAACUUGAGAAUGUGUAGUGAUAAUGAAGUUUGAGAAAGAGAAUCCUGAAUGGGUUGUUAACAUUUUCAUCAUGUUGUGCUGCAUUCUUAGGAGAAUGCUCAUGGAGCAUAAAACACUAUGCGCACUUGUGCCUCCCUCUUGCACAGUUGACAGAUGGCAGUUUAGUGGGACAACCAACCACUCAUGCCUACCCAUGAUUUCAUCAGCAGUAUCCUAUCGUAUUACUGGGAUAUUGUCUAUCACGUGGCUAAAACAACAAAG
rnacentral:misc_RNA from 1 species